rfam:Trichobilharzia regenti genome assembly, scaffold: TRE_scaffold0045438
AUACUGCUGAAGAGUCCCAAACUAGGACGAAACAGCUAUCCAGUAC